CUUCCACCAAUGGACGAAAGUACUGAUGGAGCAACGCCGCCGUGAGUGAAGAAGGGUUUCGGCUCGUAAAGCUCUGUUGGUAGUGAAGAAAGAUAGAGGUAGUAACUGGCCUUUAUUUGACGGUAAUUACUUAGAAAGUCACGGCUAACUACGUGCC
rnacentral:rRNA from 1 species